GACGGAGGAUGCGAGCGUUGUCCGGAAUCAUUGGGCGUAAAGAGUUCGUAGGCGGUGCAUCAAGUCUGAUGUUAAAGGCAGGGGCUUAACCCUUGUAUGGCGUUGGAAACUGAUGUGCUAGAGGACAGAAGAGGCAAGGGGAAUUCCCAGUGUAGCGGUGAAAUGCGUAGAUAUUGGGAGGAACACCGGUGGCGAAAGCGCCUUGCUGGGCUGUUUCUGACGCUGAGGAACGAAAGCCGGGGGAGCGAAUGGG
rnacentral:rRNA from 1 species